CCCCGGAGCGCCCCGGGCUCCUUCAUCAACGCCCCCCGGCUGGAACAAAGGCAACGCGGGGCGCGCAGCAUCGCCGCAACGGCCCCUUCGCGCAUCUAGCCAAAGCCGGGAGAAGGAGCACGGGGGUCCCCAAGACAGGCAGAUUGAGCCUCAGAGAGUGGAGAAUAGGUGCCUCAAACUUCCGAGUAAAGCUGGCUGGAGCUGUGUGAAUGAAAGGUCUUCCCUGGUGGCUCAGUGGCAAAGAA